rnacentral:rRNA from 1 species
UACGAAGGGGGCUAGCGUUGCUCGGAAUCACUGGGCGUAAAGGGUGCGUAGGCUGGUCUUUAAGUCAGGGGUGAAAUCCUGGAGCUCAACUCCAGAACUGCCUUUGAUACUGAAGAUCUUGAGUUCGGGAGAGGUGAGUGGAACUGCGAGUGUAGAGGUGAAAUUCGUAGAUAUUCGCAAGAACACCAGUGGCGAAGGCGGCUCACUGGCCCGAUACUGACGCUGAGGCACGAAAGCGUGGGGAGCAAACAGG